GCAGAGCAGACGAUCGCGGCCCUGUCUUUGACAGGGGUGAGGAAAGUCCGGGCUUCACAGGGCAGGAUACCGGUUAACGGCCGGCGGAGGCGACUCCCGGGACAGUGCAACAGAGACAUACCGCCUUUCUCUUUGGAGAGAGGUAAGGGUGAAAAGGCAGUGUAAGAGACUACCGUCCGUGCAGUAAUGUGCGGAGCCAUGCAAACCCUAUCCGAAGCAAGACCGAAACGGAAACCAUGGAUUGGCCCGAUCCGUUUCCAGGUGCGUCGCUUGAGGCUGCCGGCAACGGCAGUCCUAGAAAGAUGAUCGUCCAACGACAGAACCCGGCUUAUCGCUCUGCUUA
rnacentral:RNase_P_RNA from 1 species